GGACGCGCGCCGUCUCCGGCCUCCGCUCGCGCGCCGCCUGCGGGCUCCGGCCGCGCGCCGCCUUCGGGCUCCGGCCGCACUCCACCGCCUGCUGGAUCCGGCCGCCGCCGCCGCCUAGACGUGCGCCGUCUCCGGCCUCCGCCUGCGCGCCGCCUGCGGACUCCGGCCGCCGGCGGGACGCGCGGCCGGGACGCGCGCGCCCUGCGGCCUCCCGCCGGGCCUGCAUUGCUCUCUCCCUCAGCCCUCGUCUUCUCCACCUCCGUUUUGGGUCGCCAGAGGCCGCCGAGCUCCGGAUCCGCCCUCUCCCUCACUGGAUCCACGCCUCCCUUGGAUGGAUCUGCAUCGACGCAGCGUUCUUCCGGUUGGUCGUGAUCCCUGUUUUCAUCGCCUGCAACGCCCACGUCCACGCCCUCCGCGUUGUCUGCUUCCUCUUCCCCGGAGACGACCUCCGCCCCGGCCCCGCCGUAGGGCUCCCCGUCGCCGCCCUCCUCCGGGGGAGGGUGCAGGUCGACCUCUACCCCGACAUCCGAGGGCGGGUGGUCGCCGUCAGGCCACUCUCCACCCAUGUCCUCGCUCCUUGCCCCGCCGCCACACCCCAUUCGAGCACUCAGCCAUCCGCUCCCACCACACCAACCCCUUCUCCAUCGAUGCUCCUACAGCCAGUGAGCUUCUGAAUUCCAGUUGGUGCUAGCAGCAAGCCAGGAACUUGGGUAAUCCAAGACGAGCAUCGCCAUGAGGUGGUCCUGGCCUACUUCCUCUCUCUAAUCCCCUUCUCUCCCUCUCAGAUUCUAUUUUAAUUUGUGUUCAAAACUGCUGCUAGGUCAUUGCCGUGUACUGCUGCUGCGUCAUCGAGCCGGCCGCUGUGCUGCAGCAUAGGAGUUGCUUCGUCCAUGGUGACUUCCGUAAUUAGGCUAUGAACAAGAGCUAUCUGAUGUGCUGCUGAUUUGAAAGAAGCCUAAGGCUGAGGGUACACUUCUGAGUGGAUCAUGUUUUGGAGAAGAAAAAGCUUCGGGUGAAGUUUUUUUCUGGUUUCUGCUUGAUCGAGAUAGAAGAUGCUAGCAGUAAGCAGUGUGCUACUGGAUAAAACAGAGCCAAGCAAAGAGCCGGGUUGCUUCUUGCUGUGUGCGUUUCUUGAGAGAGAAGAUAGCAAAAAUGAGCUUCUCCAUCAGAACAGGAAGAGCUGAGAAGGAAAUUUGCUUCCUGCUAUACAAGGUUUCCUAAACUGCCAAGGUUGUGACACUCAAAUUGAGGGUUUGUUGAUAGAAAAUAAAUUGUGAGUCUUAGCCAUUAGUUGCUCUGAAACUAUUUAGCUUGCCUGCACCAUAUUUCAAGAUAUUAUUAUUCUUUCAUAUUCGGUGCAUAAGUAUAGCAAUCUGUAAUUUGGCCGCACCAUAAAUAUAGGAG